AUUGAACGCUGGCGGGAGGCCUAACACAUGCAAGUCGAGCGGAGCGGCGGACGGGGGAGGAAUGGCUAGGAAUCUGACUGGGAGUGGGGGAUAACGUCAGGAAACGGGCGCUAAUACCGCAUACUAUCAGAUGAGCCUAGGUCGGAUUAGCUAGUUGGAGGGGUAAAGGCAUACCAAGGCGACGAUCCGUAACUGGACUGAGAGGAUGAUCAGCCACACUGGGACUGAGACACGGCCCAGACUCCUACGGGAGGCAGCAGUGGGGAAUAUUGGACAAUGGGCGAAAGCCUGAUCCAGCCAUGCCGCGUGUGUGAAGAAGGUCUUCGGAUUGUAAAGCACUUUAAGUUGGGAGGCGUUACCAACAGAAUAAGCACCGGCUAACUACGUGCCAGCAGCCGCGGUAAUUC
rnacentral:rRNA from 1 species